CUUAACUCGCAGGAGAAGACGGUUGCCUAGAAAAGAAGAAGAGCUGAAGAACGUGGAGAAAAAAUCCAUGGGUUCAGAACCCACGAAGCUGGCGGUUUCCACAAUUUCAGAACCAUCACAAUCAUGUUACUUAUAUUUUCUUCCUCCACUUUACUAGCACCCUUUUCUGCUUCAGAAAUCGAAAUUGCGAGUAACCACAGUGUACAGACUGGUCAGACCCAAAAACCUUCCUUUCUCAUUCCACCCCACACCUGCUACCCCGUUCGAGCCCGUCACUGUUCCAUUCGAUCAAAGUUUGCGCGGCAACGCCGUCGAUUUGCCCGAGUCCGAUCACCGAGUCCGUCGCCGAGUUAAAGGUUUAGAGCCUGAGCAGAUUUCUGUUUCGCUUUCAGCCAAUUACGACUCUGUUUGGAUCUCCUGGGUUACAGGGGAAUCGCAAAUUGGCUACAAGAUAAAGCCAUUGGACCCCAAAAGUGUGGCAAGUGUUGUUCGUUAUGGGAAGCUGAGAUAUCCACCAACGCAUGAAGCAAGCACCAAUGAAGAAAGCAUUUAGAUUUGAUGGGUUUGAUGUCAAUGUAUGAAUCAUAGUUAAGCAGUCAUCCAAUUGCUUCAGGUAUGACUUAUGAAAAUUAACAAGUUUUUCAAAUCUACAUGUCUUAUUGAAACUUUGGAAUUUUAUCUCAACAGAUUCAAUCGUCUCUCACCUCUCUAACGUAUAAGCAAUCACUGAAGCAAAGAAGCAAAGAUAACUUUCAGGAGAGCUUGGGUACGAAAUCCAAAUACGAGAAUCAGUCGUGAGCCCAAAUUGUCUAACCAUUCUUCGCUUUACUCUCUUUCUAGCAGUCGUGAGCUUGGGCAAAUCUGAGCAACGCUCUCUUGGAAGGUGCACUUUCCACAGGCAACACAUC